rnacentral:rRNA from 1 species
AGUGAACGCUGGCGGUAAGCCUAACACAUGCAAGUCGAACGGCAGCACAGUAAGAGCUUGCUCUUACGGGUGGCGAGUGGCGGACGGGUGAGGAAUACAUCGGAAUCUACUUUUUCGUGGGGGAUAACGUAGGGAAACUUACGCUAAUACCGCAUACGACCUACGGGUGAAAGCAGGGGAUCUUCGGACCUUGCGCGAUUGAAUGAGCCGAUGUCGGAUUAGCUAGUUGGCGGGGUAAAGGCCCACCAAGGCGACGAUCCGUAGCUGGUCUGCGAGGAUGAUCAGCCACACUGGAACUGAGACACGGUCCAGACUCCUACGGGAGGCAGCAGUGGGGAAUAUUGGACAAUGGGCGCAAGCCUGAUCCAGCCAUACCGCGUGGGUGAAGAAGGCCUUCGGGUUGUAAAGCCCUUUUGUUGGGAAAGAAAAGCAGCAGGUUAAUACCCCGCUGUUCUGACGGUACCCAAAGAAUAAGCACCGGCUAACUUCGUG